UAAUAAGUGGGAGGUGGAAGUCAAAGUGGGUACGUGAUCUGAGGGCCAAGAUGGGUUUGAAGAUUGAAUAAUUCUGAGCGUCAGCCACUAUUUGGCUUCAGCCGGAGCACACCUUACGUGGUGUGUAGUAAAAUGACAUUUAUGUCCCUGAAAAACAGAACGUCAGAGGAUCAUAAUUCGAAGAUUUCAAACUUCCCCCUCCUUCUCUCAUCUCGUCUCCGAAUCCUCCCCUCUCCGAAUCCUCCCCUCCCCACCCACGACCCACCCCCCACCCAUAUCCCCUCGCUAGGGCAAACCCACCCCCAUUCGAAUCUGAAGAAACGUUGUAACUACUCCUCUCCGAAUCAUCCCCACCCCCCCACGAGCAAACCCUCUUCCCCCCCAUCCCAAUCCUCUCUCCCAUCCCGACCCCUAACCCCCGCGUCGCCCAGAAAACCCACCCCCAUUCGAAUCUGUCCUGCAAAAUACGAGCUGGUUCGUCGCGUCGCAUCACCUGCCUCUGUCAUAUUUGUUUCACCGGCGCUUGCUCAGUCGCAUAGGUAAAUGUUGUACCUAGUUUUCCUUUCAAAUGAUUAUCAAAUAAUUUACUGAGAAAUUUGUUUUGUUGAGUAUUGUGAGAUGGGUUUCGAAAGAGAUGGGUUUCGAAAGAGAUGGGUUUCGAUAGAGAUGGGUUUCGGAAGAGAUGGGUUUCGAAAGACCUAGGGCAAACACAUUGCAAACCUUAUUUUCUGCUUGACGAGCUCGGUUUCACAAACAUUAUCAUUUACAUUUUGAAGUCGAACAAAAGAGGGAUAAUUUUUCUGGUACUCUGCUUUUUCCUUAAGACUCUUUUUUAUUAGAUCAUUGUAUCUAGUUAUGGUAGUGCUAUAUUAUAAUUUUUCGAUGAUUAUUAGUUUGAUCUGUGUAGUGGAAAAAAGUACCAAAAUAAAUUACAGAACUCAAUAGUUUUGGUUGUGCAUAAAACAAAAUAAAACCGAGAAUAAUGUGAUGAAUCAUGAAAAAACUUUGCUAAUAAUUGGAAUGGCUCACACCUGCUGCAUGUGAUGAAUCAUGUAAAUAAUUUAAGCGUUUCAUGAAAUAUUUAUAAUACAUGAAAGUGAUACUCAUUAAAUGUGCAUAGCUUGUAUCAAAUAUGGAUUGCCCAAAUGUGUAUUGGGUGUUUGCUUUUAGUUAGUUUAUCUGUUUUCAACCUGAUGUUGUUGGUUAAGUUUAGUUGAUAAGGAAAAUAUCUGACAUAUUUGAUCCAAAGGCCUGUUUGUAUUGGCAUGCCAAGUGGUGCGUAUUCUAAUGGACAUGCUUACUGUUUUGUUGUUCAUGAAGAAUGAACUGGAUAGACUGUAUUUGUGCAGGGGUUCAAGUCUGUUUAUUUGGUUUUGCUAGUGAUUUUCUGCAUCUUUCUUCAGCAGUCAUUCAUUAGGCUCUAUUACCGUGUACUGGAUUAUCACAAUUAGAUAGACUCUUGUGUUUGUACUUGUCAUUCGAUUUUUUGAAGGUGGCAUGGCAUCAUCCCAAUCAUCAUCUUCAUUUGGUGAUUUUGUGAUGGAAUCACCAACUUGUUGGUGUGGCUUGAAAACACAACUAAAGACAUCCCGCACUAAGUCUAAUCCGUUGAGAAAAUUUUUUGCUUGCCCAAAAUAUGAUACGGGCGAUGCACGAUGUGAAUUCUUCGUGUGGACGGAUAUAUAUCUUUUGCUAGAUCAAAACAUUCGGAGUAGAGAGACUAAAGUUUGGACUAUGUGGGAUGAGGUCUUGCUGCGAGAGUGCCAAGUGCAGAAAAGGGAGGAGAAAGUAAACGAGAGAGAGAGAAGCCUGAAAAAAUCUAAUAGAACAUUAUUGUGUUUGUAUUGGAUUCUUACAGCUGUAAUAAUUAUAGCUUGGUUUGGAUAAAUUGGAAGUUGACUGUCAUGUAUGGAAACUUUUCAUUUUGUGCU